rnacentral:rRNA from 1 species
GUCUACGGCCAUACCACCCUGAACGCGCCCGGUCUUGUCUGAUCUUGUAAGCUAAGCAGGGUUGGGCCUGGUUAGUACUUGGAUGGGAGAGAAAGGGAUGCUGUCUAAA